rnacentral:rRNA from 1 species
GACGAACGCUGGCGGCGUGCUUAACACAUGCAAGUCGAACGGAAAGGCCCUGCUUUUGUGGGGUGCUCGAGUGGCGAACGGGUGAGUAACACGUGAGUAACCUGCCCUUGACUUUGGGAUAACUUCAGGAAACUGGGGCUAAUACCGGAUAGGAGCUCCUGCUGCAUGGUGGGGGUUGGAAAGUUUCGGCGGUUGGGGAUGGACUCGCGGCUUAUCAGCUUGUUGGUGGGGUAGUGGCUUACCAAGGCUUUGACGGGUAGCCGGCCUGAGAGGGUGACCGGCAACGUUGGGACUGAGAUGCACCCCGGACGACUGCUGGGUGUAGCAGGGGGGAUGAUGGCAUGAUGGGCGGAGGCGUGAUGCCGCAUCGCCGCGUGGGGGAGGACGGCGUGAGGGUAGUAAACCCCGUACGCCUGUGACGAAGCCUGCGUGAGGCGAAGGUGUAGAUAAGCAACGGCUAGUCACGGG